rnacentral:rRNA from 1 species
CGCGGCCUAUCAGCUUGUUGGUGAGGUAACGGCUCACCAAGGCAUCGACGGGUAGCUGGUCUGAGAGGACGAUCAGCCACACUGGGACUGAGACACGGCCCAGACUCCUACGGGAGGCAGCAGUGGGGAAUAUUGCACAAUGGGCGCAAGCCUGAUGCAGCAACGCCGCGUGCGGGAUGACGGCCUUCGGGUCGUAAACCGCUUUCAGUAGGGACGAAGCUAACGUGACGGUACCUACAGAAGAAGGACCGGCUAACUACGUGCCAGCAGCCGCGGUGAUACGUAGGGUCCGAGCGUUGUCCGGAUUUAUUGGGCGUAAAGAGCUCGUAGGCGGCUCAACAAGUCGGCCGUGAAAGCCCGAGGCUUAACCUCGGGACGCCGGUCGAAACUGUUGUGGCUAGGGUCCGGUAGAGGAGAGUGGAAUUCCCGGUGUAGCGGUGAAAUGCGCAGAUAUCGGGAGGAACACCAGUAGCGAAGGCGGCUCUCUGGGCCGGCACCGACGCUGAGGAGCGAAAGCUAGGGGAGCAAACAGGAUUAGAUACCCUGGUAGUCCUAGCCGUAAACGAUGGGUACUAGGUGUGGCGGAUUCAUUGACAUCUGCCGUGCCGAAACUAACGCAUUAAGUACCCCGCCUGGGGAGUACGG